rnacentral:rRNA from 1 species
UAAGACAGAGGGGGCAGGCGUUGCUCGGAUUUCCUGGGCGUAAAGGGCGCGUAGGCGGCGCAACAAGUCACUUGUGAAAUCUCCGGGCUUAACUCGGAGCGGCCAAGUGAUACUGUCGUGCUAGAGUGCGGAAGGGGCAACUGGAAUUCUCGGUGUAGCGGUGAAAUGCGUAGAUAUCGAGAGGAACACCUGCGGCGAAGGCGGGUUGCUGGGCCGACACUGACGCUGAGGCGCGAAAGCCAGGGGAGCGAACGGGA